GACGAACGCUGGCGGCGUGCCUAAUACAUGCAAGUCGAGCGGACUUGCGGGAGCUUGCUCCCGCGAGUCAGCGGCGGACGGGUGAGUAACACGUGGGCAACCUGCCUGUAAGACUGGGAUAACUUCGGGAAACCGGAGCUAAUACCGGAUAAUACUUUCCCUCUCAUGAGGGAAAGUUGAAAGAUGGUUUCGGCUAUCACUUACAGAUGGGCCCGCGGCGCAUUAGCUAGUUGGUGAGGUAACGGCUCACCAAGGCAACGAUGCGUAGCCGACCUGAGAGGGUGAUCGGCCACACUGGGACUGAGACACGGCCCAGACUCCUACGGGAGGCAGCAGUAGGGAAUCUUCCGCAAUGGACGAAAGUCUGACGGAGCAACGCCGCGUGAACGAAGAAGGCCUUCGGGUCGUAAAGUUCUGUUGUUAGGGAAGAACAAGUACCAGAGUAACUGCUGGUACCCUGACGGUACCUAACCAGAAAGCCACGGCUAACUACGUGCCAGCAGCCGCGGUAAUACGUANGUGGCAAGCGUUGUCCGGAAUUAUUGGGCGUAAAGCGCGCGCAGGUGGGUUCCUUAAGUCUGAUGUGA
rnacentral:rRNA from 1 species